GAAGUGUUAGUAAAAAUUAUAAGGCCUUGUCGAGUCCUAGUUAUUAGUUUAAGUCUAAUACAUUUUAU
rnacentral:tRNA from 1 species